UACGAAGGGGGCUAGCGUUGCUCGGAAUCACUGGGCGUAAGGCGCACGUAGGCGGAUUGCUAAGUCAGGGGUGAAAUCCUGGAGCUCAACUCCAGAACUGCCUUUGAUACUGGCGACCUUGAGUCCGGGAGAGGUGAGUGGAACUGCGAGUGUAGGGGUGAAAUUCGUAGAUAUUCGCAAGAACACCAGUGGCGAAGGCGGCUCACUGGCCCGGUACUGACGCUGAGACGCGAAAGCGUGGGGAGCGAACAGG
rnacentral:rRNA from 1 species